rnacentral:rRNA from 1 species
UGUGUAUCAGUACAUGGCAUAUCAAUAAGCGGAGGAAAAGAAACUAACUAGGAUUCCCUCAGUAACGGCGAGUGAAGCGGGAAGAGCUCAAAUUUGAAAUCUUCAAGGUUCUACCUUGACGAAUUGUAGUUUAAAGAAGUGUUUUCUGUUGGAGUUUUGGUAAAAGUUCUUUGGAAUAGGACAUCAUAGAGGGUGAGAAUCCCGUAUUUGACCAUUAUUUCCAACUUUGUGAUACACUUUCAAAGAGUCGGAUUGUUUGGGAAUGCAGUCCAAAAUGGGUGGUAAAUUUCAUCUAAAGCUAAAUACUGGCGAGAGACCGAUAGCGAACAAGUACCGUGAGGGAAAGAUGAAAAGAACUUUGAAAAGAGAGUUAAACAGUACGUGAAAUUGUCAAAAGGGAAGCGUUUGACACCAGUGUUGUUUUCUCGAAAAUCAAUUAAAAAUGGAUGGGAUGUUGUGUUGUAUUGACUUUAUCAGCUUUCUGCACUUUUUUUCCUUAUCUUUUUUAAUGCACUUUUCGUUUAACAAGUCAACAUCAAUUUCUUUUGUUGUAAAAGGGUCAUUGGAAGGUGGCUUUCAUUUCGGUGAAAGUGUUUAUAGCCUUUGGCUUCUGCAAUCGGAGAGAUUGAGGUCUGCAGCGUAGAUCCUUCGGGGUUAGAUGCAUUUGUGCUAAGUUAUAGCCUUUCAUAGACAACUUGUUGACUAUGAUCAGUCAUGUAGCUUACUCGCUUAUGUCAUUUUACCUACGCUUAGGAUGUUGACAGCAGUAUAGACUGU